GUGGGAGUGGGCAAAGAAGGCUUCCCGCCAAGCAGGGAGCCCGAUGCGGGGCUUGAUCCCAGGAAGGCAGACGCUCAGCGACUGAGCCACCCGGGUGCCCGAUUCCACUGUUGGUUUUGACAGAAGAUUAGAACCAUUCUGAGCUGCCUUUGAGUCCCAGCCAGUGAACCUAAGAUGGGUAGAGGAAAAACUCUUCCUCUCCUACAGUUUGGGCAACUGUGAAGGGCCAGUAAAAGCCUGGGAGGCCCCACUGGUUCUAGAACCUACAGAUGAAAUCCUGGAACAAUGGAUAAAACUUGGCAAGAGUGAACUCUCAUCAGACAUUUCACUGUGACAUUUUAAGCCUUUUGUCAUUCAUAGACAAUUAUUGUUUUACUCUGACACUUCCCAGAGAUCUUUUAUAAUAAGCAGCAAUCCGAAAGUACUUACUCCUCAAAGUUCAUGGAGAACCCUCUGACAGAUUCUCUGGAGCAAAGGUUUCUGAUAACUUUGAAAGCAUACCACUU